GUAACUGAAUAAUACUCUUCUCUUAUUGAAUAACGAAGUACAAGAUAGCUAGCUUUGUAGUAUGAUCUUGAACUACACUCUCAUGGCGAGUUUCACUCUAGAUCCUCAAUUUCUUCACGAUUGAGAAGUACAGACUCAUGAAGUCCAUAACAAACUACAACAAAGCAUAAGCUCUUCAAGAAUUACAGACUCCUCUUUAUACUAACUCUCAGCUCAACUAACUGUUGUAAC
rnacentral:lncRNA from 1 species